AUUGAACGCUGGCGGCAGGCCUAACACAUGCAAGUCGAGCGAGCGGCGGACGGGUGAGUAAUGUCUGGGAAACUGCCUGAUGGAGUGGGAUAACUACUGGAAACGGUAGCUAAUACCGCAUACUAUCAGAUGUGGCUAGAUGGGAUUAGCUAGUAGGUGGGGUAACGGCUCACCUAGGCGACGAUCCCUAGUUGGUCUGGGAGGAGGACCAGCCACACUGGAACGGAGACACGGUCCAGACUCAUACGGGAGGCAGGAGAGGGGAAUAGUGCACAAUGGACGCAAGGCUGAUGCAGCCAUGCCGAGUGUGUGAAGAAGGCAUGCGGGUUGUAAAGCAAUUUCAGCGGGGAGGCGUUACCAGAAGAAGAAGCACCGGCUAACUCCGUGCCAGCAGCCGCGGUAAUAC
rnacentral:rRNA from 1 species